rnacentral:rRNA from 1 species
UACGAAGGGUGCAAACGUUGCUCGGAAUCAUUGGGCGUAAAGCGCACGUAGGCGGCUUGCCAAGUCGGACGUGAAAUCCCUCAGCUCAACUGAGGACGUGCAUCCGAAACUGGCGAGCUUGAGUACUGAAGAGGAUCGCGGAAUUCCCGGUGUAGAGGUGAGAUUCGUAGAUAUCGGGAGGAACACCAGUGGCGAAGGCGGCGAUCUGGGCAGAUACUGACGCUGAGGUGCGAAAGCGUGGGGAGCAAACAGG